rnacentral:rRNA from 1 species
UACGGAGGGUGCGAGCGUUGUCCGGAAUCACUGGGCGUAAAGGGCGCGUAGGUGGCGCGGGCAGUCAACGGUGAAAGUUCGGGGCUCAACCCUGAAUCGGCCGUCGAUACUCCCGGGCUUGAGCACUGUAGAGGCAGAUGGAAUUCCGGGUGUAGUGGUGAAAUGCGUAGAGAUCGGGAGGAACACCAGUGGCGAAGGCGGCUUGCUGGGCCGGACCUGACGCUGAGACGCGAAGGCGUGGGGAGCGAACGGG